UACGAAGGGGGCUAGCGUUGCUCGGAAUUACUGGGCGUAAAGCGCACGUAGGCGGUCUUUAAGUCGGGGUGAAAUCCUGGAGCUCAACUCCAGAACUGCCCUUCGAUACUGGAAGACUUGAGUCCGGGAGAGGUGAGUGGAACUGCGAGUGUAGAGGUGAAAUUCGUAGAUAUUCGCAAGAACACCAGUGGCGAAGGCGGCUCACUGGCCCGGUACUGACGCUGAGGUGCGAAAGCGUGGGGAGCAAACAGGG
rnacentral:rRNA from 1 species